GUCCUCAUAAGUGAUCAUCGAAUGAGAUGAUAAUUGAAAAAAUUGUUUAUUCCUUCAACCAUUCAAUUCACUUAGUUUUCUCAUUCUGGUUCAUAUCUGUUCAGAUUCCAAUAGACAAAUGUUAACCAGCUAAUCACUGGUAAUUCAUGACGGAUAUCAAAGAGGAAGUUAGAGGUGAAUCUUGCACUCUUCAUAACUUUAUCCGUUUGUCUUGACUUGUUUUUCAGGACACAACUUGAACCUUUCACCCAUCAACAUGGAAAAACUCAAUAUCAGUUGAUUACGAUUUUCGUUUUUCUUUUAUUUGAAUUGGUGUCUUUUGGACGAAACAAGGAAGUGUUAGACACACAUAAUGAAUAAUGGCUCAUUUUCCAGGAACGCAAACCUGUUGAAUGAACAACUCAAACUGAUAGCCAACAAGUAUAGAAAAUUGGAUUCGAAUUAAAAUUCGAUGGAUUUCGAAUAAGUAUGAGUGUGAGUAAGUAGACAGUAAACUGUUGAAUCGCUACGAAAUGCUGACAAAUUUCUUCUCAUUAUCUG